AGUGAACGCUGGCGGUAGGCCUAACACAUGCAAGUCGAACGGCAGCACAGUAAGAGCUUGCUCUUACGGGUGGCGAGUGGCGGACGGGUGAGGAAUACAUCGGAAUCUACUUUUUCGUGGGGGAUAACGUAGGGAAACUUACGCUAAUACCGCAUACGACCUACGGGUGAAAGCAGGGGAUCUUCGGACCUUGCGCGAUUGAAUGAGCCGAUGUCGGAUUAGCUAGUUGGCGGGGUAAAGGCCCACCAAGGCGACGAUCCGUAGCUGGUCUGAGAGGGUGAAUCGGCAAAACGGAAAUGAGAAAACGUCCAGAACCCUAACGGAGGGAGCAGUAGGGAAAUUUCGGAAAAGGGGCGAAGCCUGAACCCGCAACACCGGGUGGGGGAAGAAGGGCUUCCGGUUGUAAAACCCUUUUUUUUGGAAAGAAAAAACGCCGGGUAAUACCCCGCUGUUCUGACGGUACCCAAAGAAUAAGCACCGGCUAACUUCGUG
rnacentral:rRNA from 1 species